rnacentral:tRNA from 1 species
CUUCAUGUGGCGAAGUGGCUAACGCUGCGGUCUGCAAAACCGUUAUUCGUGGGUUCGAGUCCCACCAUGAAGU